rnacentral:rRNA from 1 species
UACGUAGGAGACGAGCGUUGUCCGGAGUUACUGGGCGUAAAGGGUGCGCAGGUGGCGGCGCGCGUGGGGGGUGAAAUCGCCCGGCUUAACUGGGCGGGGGCUUUCCAGACGGCGCGGCUUGAGCCACAGAGGGGGGCGUGGAAUUCCGGGUGGAGCGGUGAAAUGCGUAGAGAUCCGGAGGAACACCGGUGGCGAAGGCGGGUCUCUGGGCCGAUACUGACGCUGAGGAGCGAAAGCGUGGGGAGCGAACAGG